rnacentral:rRNA from 1 species
GACGAACGCUGGCGGCGUGCUUAACACAUGCAAGUCGAACGGAAAGGCCCUGCUUUUGUGGGGUGCUCGAGUGGCGAACGGGUGAGUAACACGUGAGUAACCUGCCCUUGACUUUGGGAUAACUUCAGGAAACUGGGGCUAAUACCGGAUAGGAGCUCCUGCUGCAUGGUGGGGGUUGGAAAGUUUCGGCGGUUGGGGAUGGACUCGCGGUUUAUCAGCUUGUUGGUGGGGUAGUGGCUUACCAAGGCUUUGACGGGUAGCCGACCUGAGAGGGUGACCGGCCACACGGGCACUGAGAAAGGGCCGUGGCUCAGACGGGAGGCAGCAGUAGGGAAUCGUGCGGAAUGGGCGAGAGCCUGACGGAGGACCGCCGCGUGAGUGAUGAAGGUCUUCGGAUCGUAAAAGUCUGUUAUUAGGGAAGAACAUAAGUGUACGUAACUGUGCACAUGUUGACGGUACCUAAACAGAAAGCCACGGCUAACUACGUG